rnacentral:lncRNA from 1 species
AUAUAUGGGUGGUGAUGAUAUUUAGCAUCAUCCGGAAAGUCAAGCAUCUAUAUUUGGUCUACGACAAUUUGCCUACUGGUCAUCAAAGAUGCUGGAAUUUUUUCAAAACGCCAACUACACGUGCAAGCUUACUUUGAAGAUGUUCUGUGUGACUAUCCCAUAGCAUGAAUUCAUUAAAGUAGACUCCAAGCAUUCUGUGUUAGUAAUUUCUAUGGCAUUCCCUCCUAAGCUUGCAGAUAUUGAACAGCUGAUGGUGCGACAAGAAUCCCAGUAUCUUCCUUGCUGUACAUUUUGAAACAAUUCUUGAACAUACAAUUUCCGUCGUGAAGUGGUACAUCC